ensembl:lncRNA
CUUCAGCACCACGGCGGAAGGCAGCGGUGCUGCGCGGGCGGCCGGAGCGUGCGGGCCGGCGCUGCGGGGCGCGCAGCCGGGCGCGGCCACCGACCUUCCCGGUGCGGCCACCGACCUCCCGGUGCCGCGGCGCCGGCUGCGGGGCUGCGGGAGGGGCCGUGUCGCACCUAACGGGCGCAUUACGAGGGUGAACGCUUUGCGAAGCCCGCAGCUACCCCGGUAACGGGCCGAGCGCGGCAGGACGCGUUGGUGGGUGUGUGAGCGGCCGUCCCGUCCCACCCGCUGGGCGCUGCUUGCAGGGCGCUGACGGUAAAAGCCACGCAGCGCUCCGGCGGGGCAGCGCGGCGGGGCCCAGCCCGCAGCCCGCAGCCUGCCGGUGCCCGGGACGGGCCGCGCUCCGCCUCAGCGGCAGCCCCGGCGCGGCCGUCGGUGCAGGCGGGCACCGGGCGGUCUGCGCCGCUGCGGGGACCCCCGCCGGGCCGCGGCACCUGCGCCGGGCUGGGGCAGUGCCCCCCCCCCCCCNCCCCCCCCCCCUGCACCCCCCGGUGCAGCCCCCCGGCGGCGCCCGCUCUGCCGCGCUCCCCCUGCCGGCCGGCCGCGGCGGGGGCGGCACCGGGGCCGGCGGGGCGCAGCGACGCGGGGCCGGGCGCCGCCACCCGGGACGCGGCAGCGGCGGGGGGGGCCGGGCUCGCCCGCGCACGCAGGCGCCCCGCCGCCGGCUGCCCCGGGGGGGCGGGGGGGCGUCCCGCGGCGGCCGCUCGGCGCCGGCGGCCGUGACCCGUGCGGGAGAGGCUCCCGGGAGGGCGGGGAAGUCCACUCCGGGAUUUCGGGGGCGCCGCGCAGUGACACAUUGACAUCACGGGGGCGCGGCCGGGCGGCGGGCGGGGGCUGCGCGCUGAAAGGCGGCGGGGCGCGGCCGGAGUCACUCCGGAACGGCGGCGGGACAGCGCGGAGCGGGCGGCGGGACGGCGCGGCUGCCUACACUGCCCGGGCUGGACUCCGCGCCGGGGCCGCCAAUGUGCCUCGGGGAGCAGGCGUGCACCUCGGCCUCAGGUCUGCUACUGUUCAAAUAAAUCAUAUAGCAAAGCAAGAAUGUAUCCUGUCUCCUCCUAAAGCAGGAUCAUUUGGGUUCUCACAGAAAAUUUGGUUUCAGUGA